UACAGAGGUCCCAAGCGUUGUUCGGAUUCAUUGGGCGUAAAGGGUGCGUAGGCGGCGCGGUAAGUCGGGUGUGAAAUCUCGGAGCUUAACUCCGAAACUGCAUUCGAUACUGCCGUGCUUGAGGACUGGAGAGGAGACUGGAAUUUACGGUGUAGCGGUGAAAUGCGUAGAUAUCGUAAGGAAGACCAGUGGCGAAAGGGCGGGGUCUCUGGACAGUUCCUGACGCUGAGGCACGAAGGCCAGGGGAGCAAACGGG
rnacentral:rRNA from 1 species